rnacentral:rRNA from 1 species
GUCCACGCCGUAAACGAUGAGUGCUAGGUGUCACGGGCUUUGACCCUCGUGGUGCCGAAGCUAACGCGUUAAGCACUCCGCCUGGGGAGUACGGUCGCAAGACUAAAACUCAAAGGAAUUGACGGGGCCCGCACAAGCGGUGGAGCAUGUUGUUUAAUUCGACGCAACGCGAAGAACCUUACCUGGGCUAGAAAGUACAGGAAGUCGGUCGAAAGGUCGAUGUGCCCUUCGGGGAACGAUGUGGUUAGGUGCUGCAUGGCUGUCGU